UACAGAGGUCCCAAGCGUUGUUCGGAUUCACUGGGCGUAAAGGGUGCGUAGGUGGCCGGUUAAGUCUGACGUGAAAUCUCCGAGCCUAACUCGGAAACUGCAUCGGAAACUAUCCGGCUCGAGGGUUGGAGGGGGGACUGGAAUACUUGGUGUAGCAGUGAAAUGCGUAGAUAUCAAGUGGAACACCAGUGGCGAAGGCGAGUCCCUGGACAACUCCUGACACUGAGGCACGAAAGCUAGAGGAGCAAACAGG
rnacentral:rRNA from 1 species